rnacentral:rRNA from 1 species
UACGGAGGAUCCAAGCGUUAUCCGGAAUCAUUGGGUUUAAAGGGUCCGUAGGCGGUUUUGUAAGUCAGUGGUGAAAGCCCAUCGCUCAACGGUGGAACGGCCAUUGAUACUGCAAGACUUGAAUUAUUGGGAAGUAACUAGAAUAUGUAGUGUAGCGGUGAAAUGCUUAGAGAUUACAUGGAAUACCAAUUGCGAAGGCAGGUUACUACCAAUGUAUUGACGCUGAUGGACGAAAGCGCGGGGAGCGAACAGG